CACAGCCGCGGUAAUUCCAGCUCCAAUAGCGUAUAUUAAAGUUGUUGCAGUUAAGAAGCUCGUAGUUGAAUUUCGGGGUCAGCAGGUUGGUCGUGCCUCUGGUACGCACUGGUUUCGCUGAUUCCUCCUUUCUGAAGAACUGUAAUGUCAUUAAUUUGGUGUUGCAGGGAAACAGGACUGUUACUUUGAAAAAAUGAGAGUGUUUAAAGCAAGCUAACGCUUGAAUACAUUAGCAUGGAAUAAUGAAAUAGGACGUUUGAUCCUAUUUUGUUGGUUUCUAGGAUUGACGUAAUGAUUAAUAGGGAUAGUUGGGGGCAUUAGUAUUCAAUUGUCAGAGGUGAAAUUCUUGGAUUUAUUGAAGACUAACUACUGCGAAAGCAUUUGCCAAGGAUGUUUUCAUUAAUCAAGAACGAAAGUUAGGGGAUCGAAGACGAUCAGAUACCGUCGUAGUCUUAACCAUAAACUAUGCCGACUAGGGAUCGGAUGAUGUUAAUUUUUUAAUGACUCAUUCGGCGCCUUACG
rnacentral:rRNA from 1 species